rnacentral:tRNA from 1 species
GCCGACUUGGCGCAAUUGGUAGCGCACCUCACUUGUAAUGAGGUGGUUAGGGGUUCGAGUCCCCUAGUCGGCUC